AGGGCUAUAGCCAAGCGGUAAGGCAGAAGGCUCUGACCCUUCGAUCGUUGGUUCGAAUCCAGCUAGCCCUGCCA
rnacentral:tRNA from 12 species